rfam:Paraphaeosphaeria sporulosa strain AP3s5-JAC2a unplaced genomic scaffold CC84scaffold_2, whole genome shotgun sequence.
GGGCUUGUGGUUUAGUGGUAUAAUUUUCCCUUAGCACUUUGCGUUCUCUACAGGACAGUGAAUGCGUGGGAAAGGUCCUGGGUUCGAUUCCCAGCAAGUCCA